GACGAACGCUGGCGGCGUGCUUAACACAUGCAAGUCGAACGAAGUGGCGAACGGGUGAGUAACGCGUAAUCAACCUGCCCUUCAGAGGGGGACAACAGUUGGAAACGACUGCUAAUACCGCAUACUUACUGUGGUGAUUGCGUCUGAUUAGCUCGUUGGGGGGGUAACGGCCCACCAAGGCGAUGAUCAGUAGGCGGUAUGAGAUGAUGAACGGACACAUUGGGACUGAGACACGGCCCAGACUCCUACGGGAGGCAGCAGUGGGGAAUCUUCCGCAAUGGACGAAAGUCUGACGGAGCAACGCCGCGUGAGUGAUGACGGCCUUCGGGUUGUAAAGCUCUGUUAAUCGGGACGCGGUACCGGAAGAGAAAGCCACGGCUAACUACGUGCCAGCAGCCGCGGUAAUAG
rnacentral:rRNA from 1 species